CAUAUGCUUGUCUCAGGAUUAAGCCAUGCAUGUCUAAGUAUAAGCACUUUAUACAGCGAUUCUGCGGAUGGCUCAUUACAUCAGUUAUGACUGGUUUCAAGGUUUGCUACUUGGAUAUCUGUGGCAAUUCUGCAGCUAAUACACGUUCAAGGGUAUGGUGUAAAUCAUACUCGAGUGUACUGGUUGCCGGGAUGAUUCGUCACUCGGUGAGCGGAGUACAUGUCAAAUCACAUUGAUUGUGACACUUGAUUCCAGUUUCUGCCCUAUCAGCUGUACAGUAUGGUAUUGGCCUACUGUGGCAUUGACGGGUAACGGGGGAUCAACGUUCGAUUCCGGAGAGGGAGCCUGAGAGACGGCUACCACAUCCAAGGAAGGCAGCAGGCGCGCAAAUUACCCCAUCCUAAUACAGGGAGGUAGUGACAAGAAAUGCCAACGGGCUAGGAUUUUUCCUAGUCUGAUUGGAAUGAGAGGCGGGUAGAUAGUGUCCCGAAAGCAACUGGAGGGCAAGUCUGGUGCCAGCAGCCGCGGUAAUUCCAGCUCCAGUGGCGUAUUUUAAAAUUGCUGCAGUUAAAACGCUCGUAGUCGAGAAGGGUUGGUUUGCAAAUCUUACAUUAGUUUGAGGAGCAGUUGAGUUUAGAAAGGUUUGUCCUGCUAUUCUCAGGCCAUCCCAGAAUGGUUUUUUGGGUAACCUUAGAAUCAUUCACAUUACCUUGAGGAAAUCACAGCGCUCCACGCCGUCUUUUCUUUUGACUAUCUACAUUAGCAUGGUAUGGUAGGCUAGACCUUGUCCAGUUUCCCGGUUCGGACUUGGUGAUGAUUGAUAGGUAUUGUUGGGGGGUGUUUGUAUUGCUGGGGGACAGGUGAAAUUGAAUGAUCCCAGUUGGACAAUCUACUGCCAAAGCAUUCACCAAGGAGAUAUCUUUUGAUCAAGAACGAAAGUUGGAGGAUCCAAGACGAUUAGAUACCGUCGUAGUUUCAGCUAUAAACGAUGUCAACCCAGGGUCUGGAGCGUGGAGGGGGUGUAAGUCAAGGUUUUUCCGCGAUUUACAUUCCUCACCACAACCAGGAACUGUGAGAGAAAUUAGAGUGUUUGGACUCCGGGGAGAGUAUGGUCGCAAGACUGAAAUUUAAAGUAAAUGAGGGGAUCGUACCACCAGGAGUGGAAUGUGCGGUUCAAUUUGACCCAACCCGCGAAAACUUACCAGGUCCGGAUAUAGUGAGGAUAGACAGAUUACAGCUCUUUCUUGAUUCUAUGGGUGGUGGUGCAUGGCCGUUGGCAGUUCGUGGGAUAGUGGCUUGUCUGGUUAAUUCCGAUAACGAACGAGACCUUGAUUGUUGAGUAGGGGAUCACGUAUGGCGAAAGCUACAUGUGUUGUGGAAAUCAUUUGAUUUUUACCCCUUCUCUGCAAGACAAUCGGUGUUGAAGCCGAGGGAAGCGCAAGGCAAUAACAGGUCCGUGAUGCCCUUAGAUGUUCUGGGCCACACGCGCGUUACACUGAGUUGUUCAACGAGGGAUAUGUGGAUUUAUAGGUUUACUUAUAAGUUCACCCUAGGUGGAGACGCCUGGGUACUCAUGAAAGCAACUCGUGCUGGGGAUCGAUCGUUGGAAUUGUCGGUCGUGAACGAGGAAUUCCUAGUAAACGUACUUAAUCAGAGUGCAGUGAUUACGUCCCUGUGAUUUGUACACACCGCCCGUCGCUGUUACCGAUAGAAUUGUGUAGUGAGAAUGAGGGAGCCAUAUUCAAUCUUCGUAACGAACGUGGUGAACUUGUUCAAGCUGGAUAAUUUAGAGGAAGCAAAAGUCGUAACAAGU
rnacentral:rRNA from 1 species